CAAAGCGUUUGUCAAAAAUCUCAAGUUCUAAUCAAUUAAUUUAAAAUUUGCCAUGAACUUUAUUUAUACCAUAUUCUUUUAUGGAGGGAAGCAACAACAAAUCAAAAUUUUUAAACUGUGCUAUUUUUUAAAUUCGAUCAACAGAAGAGUGGAAAUCGUGCCAAGGAGAACACGAAAUCAAGGCUUGUAUGGAAAGAUGUUUCCGAAUCCGAUUUCCGAGGAAAUUGUUCAGAUCGAGACACUAUAGCAUAUAGAUGCCAUACAAACUGACCGAUCAAAAUCAAUUUCUUGUAAGAAAUCCUUUGUAUUUGCGAGAGCUAUUAUAGCUUCGGUACAACCAAAGUCAAUGUCGUAUUUUUCAUUUAUUGAAGUUGACUUUUUAUGUGCCGAGUUCCUACCAUCGAAAGGAGAGGCGUCCGUUGGCAGCCGCACUUCAGGGUCACUGCAUAUUUGCCUUGAUUUUGUACAUACUCGUAUACAACUUAUAUAUACAGUAAAUUAUGUAUAAAAAGGAGGAAAUUAAAUUGUCAUUAAAAACCUUUGAAUUUCUAAACAUCAUAAUUAUACAAAAGCAGUAAAAAAAAAGUAAGAAAACGUUGCUAAUAUGCGCGAUUACUUAUAUUCACAAAAAAAUAAAAAAUAAAAAAAAAGAUCAACAACAGGAAGCCAUUUAUCAGAUAUAGUAAGAGUGUAAUGAUUUCCGUAAUCCCCAAACCAGUAGGGGUCAACAUGGCGAAUGAAUGGAAUCGUCGCAUGAAUCUUUAAUAUUGAGGAAGCUGAUCAAUUGAAGUGUAAUAAAAAUUGUUGUAUGCGAAAUGAUGUGCGAAAAGAGAGUGAAUGUGCAAAAUGUUCAUAAAUCGACAUUACCUUCAUGAAUAUACAUAUAAAUAUGUAAAUAUAUGUGUACAUACUAGAAAAAUUGUCUGUUACAAGUCAAGUGCAAUACAACAAAAGGAUCAUACAGAAUUUGCAAUCACAUAGACGGUAUCUUGCCAAUUUUGUACUUACUUCAGCUUUAUACAGCGGGUAGUGAACCGGGGCCUGAAGUGUUCCUCUGGAAAUCUACGAAAUAUUCAUUGAAAUUGUACAUAUAGUACAUUGUUUUAUUGGCCCUAAACUACAAUAUAAAUGCGUCUAAUGAACCUUUUAGAUUAAGAAACGUCUGCUGUAUUGUUUGACAUCUUUACCUGGAAGAUAUGUAUACUCGGGUCUUUAAGAUUAGUAUUGGUAUUAGUUUUCAG